rnacentral:rRNA from 1 species
GUGCCAGCCGCCGCGGUAAUACCGGCAGCUCGAGUGAUGUCCAAUAUUAUUGGGCCUAAAGCGUCCGUAGCUGGCCGCACAAGUCCAUCGGGAAAUCCACCUGCUCAACAGGUGGCCGUCCGGUGGAAACUGUGUGGCUUGGGACCGGAAGGCGCGACGGGUACGUCCGGGGUAGGAGUGAAAUCCUGUAAUCCUGGACGGACCGCCGAUGGCGAAAGCACGUCGCGAAAACGGAUCCGACAGUGAGGGACGAAAGCUAGGGUCUCGAACCGGAUUAGAAACCCCUGUAGUCC